rnacentral:rRNA from 1 species
GGCGGUGUGCCUAAUACAUGCAAGUCGUACGCACUGGCCCAACUGAUUGAUGGUGCUUGCACCUGAUUGACGAUGGAUCACCAGUGAGUGGCGGACGGGUGAGUAACACGUAGGUAACCUGCCCCGGAGCGGGGGAUAACAUUUGGAAACAGAUGCUAAUACCGCAUAACAACAAAAGCCACAUGGCUUUUGUUUGAAAGAUGGCUUUGGCUAUCACUCUGGGAUGGACCUGCGGUGCAUUAGCUAGUUGGUAAGGUAACGGCUUACCAAGGCGAUGAUGCAUAGCCGAGUUGAGAGACUGAUCGGCCACAAUGGAACUGAGACACGGUCCAUACUCCUACGGGAGGCAGCAGUAGGGAAUCUUCCACAAUGGGCGCAAGCCUGAUGGAGCAACACCGCGUGAGUGAAGAAGGGUUUCGGCUCGUAAAGCUCUGUUGUUGGAGAAGAACGUGCGUGAGAGUAACUGUUCACGCAGUGACGGUAUCCAACCAGAAAGUCACGGCUAACUACGUGCCAGCAGCCGCGGUAAUACGUAGGUGGCAAGCGUUAUCCGGAUUUAUUGGGCGUAAAGCGAGCGCAGGCGGUUGCUUAGGUCUGAUGUGAAAGCCUUCGGCUUAACCGAAGAAGUGCAUCGGAAACCGGGCGACUUGAGUGCAGAAGAGGACAGUGGAACUCCAUGUGUAGCGGUGGAAUGCGUAGAUAUAUGGAAGAACACCAGUGGCGAAAGCGGCUGUCUGGUCUGCAACUGACGCUGAGGCUCGAAAGCAUGGGUAGCGAACAGGAUUAGAUACCCUGGUAGUCCAUGCCGUAAACGAUGAGUGCUAGGUGUUGGAGGGUUUCCGCCCUUCAGUGCCGGAGCUAACGCAUUAAGCACUCCGCCUGGGGAGUACGACCGCAAGGUUGAAACUCAAAGGAAUUGACGGGGGCCCGCACAAGCGGUGGAGCAUGUGGUUUAAUUCGAAGCUACGCGAAGAACCUUACCAGGUCUUGACAUCUUGCGCUAACCUUAGAGAUAAGGCGUUCCCUUCGGGGACGCAAUGACAGGUGGUGCAUGGUCGUCGUCAGCUCGUGUCGUGAGAUGUUGGGUUAAGUCCCGCAACGAGCGCAACCCUUGUUACUAGUUGCCAGCAUUAAGUUGGGCACUCUAGUGAGACUGCCGGUGACAAACCGGAGGAAGGUGGGGACGACGUCAGAUCAUCAUGCCCCUUAUGACCUGGGCUACACACGUGCUACAAUGGACGGUACAACGAGUCGCAAGCUCGCGAGAGUAAGCUAAUCUCUUAAAGCCGUUCUCAGUUCGGACUGUAGGCUGCAACUCGCCUACACGAAGUCGGAAUCGCUAGUAAUCGCGGAUCAGCAUGCCGCGGUGAAUACGUUCCCGGGCCUUGUACACACCGCCCGUCACACCAUGGGAGUUUGUAACGCCC